UUUCCAUCUUCACUCUAGUUUUUUCACUCUGUUAAAUCUAACUGAACUAUUAAUGUUUAUUCAGAUGAAUCAAACUUUGGCUCUAGAGGAAAACACAAGUUACGUGACUUCCUGUGGAAAUAGAAACUGAAACCAACUUUGGUCUCCUUCAGAUCAGCCUCCAUUUUGAGCUGCAGGAUGGAAAUAACUUGCUGACUUGUUACUAGAGGCCAGAAGAUGGAAGAUCAGGACAGAGCAGAACCUCCAGGACCCAUCAGUCCAUCUAUGAGGAGUGACUGGUCCAAAGGUUGGGCUCCAGAGUUCAGUAAUGAACGUGAACCAUCAGACAGAAAGAGCUGUGAGUGUGAAGAAAGACCCAGAACAGGAGCUGAA